rnacentral:rRNA from 1 species
AAUCAACGCUGGCGGCAUGCCUUACACAUGCAAGUCGAACGGCAGCACGGGAGUAAUCCUGGUGGCGAGUGGCGAACGGGUGAGUAAUACAUCGGAACGUGCCCAGUAGGUGGGGGAUAGCCCGGACGAAAGCCGGAUUAAUACCGCAUACGACCUACGGGUGAAAGGCGGGGGAUCGCAAGACCUCGCGCUAUCGGAGCGGCCGAUGUCAGAUUAGGUUGUUGGUGGGGUAAAGGCCUACCAAGCCGACGAUCUGUAGCUGGUCUGAGAGGACGACCAGCCACACUGGGACUGAGACACGGCCCAGACUCCUACGGGAGGCAGCAGUGGGGAAUUUUGGACAAUGGGGGCAACCCUGAUCCAGCCAUGCCGCGUGCGGGAAGAAGGCC